rfam:Nipponia nippon contig63538, whole genome shotgun sequence.
GUUAAAAGCUAGGGCUAGGACUUGGAGGUUGUGUAGGCAAACGGAAGGCGAGCCGGGGGAAGAAAAACCGAAAUGGAUUCGUUCUCUGUCCUGGAUGGAGGAGGAGAGGAGAGGAGAAGGGGACGUGCGAGCUGCCUCCAGCUGCCUCUGUCCGGUGAAAAGUGCCGCGGCCCCGGGGCUGAGCGGGCUGCGGAGCCGGCGCGGACUCUCGCUGCAGCCUGCCAAUCAAGGCGCUAACGAGCCACCACCCUGCGCGGGCACCGACAC